AUAACCGCAGCAAUUGACGUUACCCGCAGAAGAAGCACCGGCUAACUCCGUGCCAGCAGCCGCGGUAAUACGGAGGGUGCAAGCGUUAAUCGGAAUUACUGGGCGUAAAGCGCACGCAGGCGGUCUGUCAAGUCGGAUGUGAAAUCCCCGGGCUCAACCUGGGAACUGCAUUCGAAACUGGCAGGCUUGAGUCUUGUAGAGGGGGGUAGAAUUCCAGGUGUAGCGGUGAAAUGCGUAGAGAUCUGGAGGAAUACCGGUGGCGAAGGCGGCCCCCUGGA
rnacentral:rRNA from 1 species